UACGUAGGGUGCAGGCGUUAAUCGGAAUUACUGGGCGUAAAGGGCGCGUAGGCGGCCUUCUAAGUCGAACGUGAAAUCCCCGGGCUCAACCCGGGAACUGCGUCCGAUACUGGAAGGCUUGAAUCCGGGAGAGGGAUGCGGAAUUCCAGGUGUAGCGGUGAAAUGCGUAGAUAUCAGGAGGAACACCGAUGGCGAAGGCAGUUCUCUGGGCCGUAACUGACGCUGAGGAGCGGAAGCGUGGGGAGCGAACAGG
rnacentral:rRNA from 1 species